rnacentral:lncRNA from 1 species
CGGGAAUGAAUGUGCUCAAUGUAUCUUUAGGGCUUGAUCUAUUUAAAGCAUUUGCGCGAGAGAGAAAUCAGCAGACGCAUCAGGACUGAAUGUUCUUGGCAGUGUAGUGUAAAUUUUGGUAAGGUUAUAGUCACACCAAUGUAAAUCAGAAGACAGAGGUAUGUUCUAAGUGUUGUUAGCCUCUAGACUGUGGUGACAACCCAUAUAUGUAACCUGUUAUGUAUGAUGAAUUUGUCUCGCCGAAAGAUUCUCUGGCUACGCCAGCAUUAGUGGAAUUACAUCAUGACUUACAUAGACAACCCGACCUGGAUCCACCAUUUGCACAGAUUUUUUAAAGUAGAAAGCAAAGGAAGUGUUUGUAUUGUUUAGCCCUUCACCUAAUGUACUAACAGAUGCUUAGGCGACUUUUUUGCAAGCCUUAAUUUCUUUUUGGCUUACUGUUUCUAUUUAAUGUUUCAUUGUGAAUGUUAUUUGUGCAUGGUUUUUGAUACUUAUUCUUCAACACAUUUCUUUCACUUGUGAGUUUUGUAGCACGGGAGGUAUGUACCUUGUAGCAGGGAAUGAAUGUGCUCAAUGUAUCUUUAGGGCUUGAUCUAUUUAAAGCAUUUGCGCGAGAGAGAAAUCAGCAGACGCAUCAGGACUGAAUGUUCUUGGCAGUGUAGUGUAAAUUUUGGUAAGGUUAUAGUCACACCAAUGUAAAUCAGAAGACAGAGGUAUGUUCUAAGUGUUGUUAGCCUCUAGACUGUGGUGACAACCCAUAUAUGUAACCUGUUAUGUAUGAUGAAUUUGUCUCGCCGAAAGAUUCUCUGGCUACGCCAGCAUUAGUGGAAUUACAUCAUGACUUACAUAGACAACCCGACCUGGAUCCACCAUUUGCACAGAUUUUUUAAAGUAGAAAGCAAAGGAAGUGUUUGUAUUGUUUAGCCCUUCACCUAAUGUACUAACAGAUGCUUAGGCGACUUUUUUGCAAGCCUUAAUUUCUUUUUGGCUUACUGUUUCUAUUUAAUGUUUCAUUGUGAAUGUUAUUUGUGCAUGGUUUUUGAUACUUAUUCUUCAACACAUUUCUUUCACUUGUGAGUUUUGUAGCACGGGAGGUAUGUGCCUUGUAGCAGGGAAAAAAGCGUGAGUACACAGUACCAUGUAGAUACCAAAUGUCAGGAAAAAAAAAAGAGUCUGAGUACAUUGUAAACUGAAAAUACUAAUCUCUAACAAAUAUG